rnacentral:rRNA from 1 species
UACGAAGGGGGCGAGCGUUGUUCGGAUUUACUGGGCGUAAAGGGCGCGCAGGCGGCUUAUCAAGUCAGAUGUGAGAGCCCCGGGCUUAACCUGGGAAUUGCGUCUGGGACUGGUGGGCUAGAGAUCGGGAGAGGAGCGUGGAAUUCCCAGUGUAGAGGUGAAAUUCGUAGAUAUUCGCAAGAACACCAGUGGCGAAGGCGGCUCACUGGACUGGUAUUGACGCUGAGGUGCGAAAGCGUGGGGAGCAAACAGG